AAGCUUGCUUUUGGACAUACUUAGUGGCGGACGGGUGAGUAAUGCAUGAGCAACCUGCCUUCAAGAGGGGGAUAACACAUGGAAACGUGUGCUAAUACCGCAUAGACGUACGGACGGCAUCGUUUGUACGGGAAAGGAGCAAUCCGCUUGAAGAUGGGCUCAUGUCCGAUUAGGUUGUUGGUGAGGUAACGGCUCACCAAGCCUGCGAUCGGUAGCCGGACUGAGAGGUUGAACGGCCACAUUGGAACUGAGAUACGGUCCAGACUCC
rnacentral:rRNA from 1 species